AGAUGUGAGAGCCACCUGGUUGUGACAUCUGUCACCCUAUGGGUUGAUUUGGCUGCUCUGGCUGUUAGCCAGGGGGUCCCCUCCCUCCCUCCCUGCUCCAUACGCUUCCCUCCAGAAGCUGCGCACGCGGCUAAAGAAGACAACCUUCCCCAAUAGAAAGGGGGCUGUCCCUCGAUCAAGGGCACACAAGCAGCUGGCUUAUCUGCUAGAACCUACAAGCUGCAAACAAGCUCUCAAAUAAAUGUCAAAGCAUAUGUCUAAUA
rnacentral:snRNA from 1 species